UGUCUUGUACUAUGGAGUUUGCUAUGUGAAUAAUGGACCUGUUGUUCAUUCUGUGAGGUUGGGUGUGGGGAGUCCGAUAAUUUUAGCAGCUGUGUUUGUGAUGCGCGUGAGUUUGGCCCAGUUUUUGACAGAAAGCAUGGU